CCCACUGUGGCAAUGCUUAUACAAGAUUAGCAUUGAUUUUGCUACAAGAUGCUACAAAUAAAGCUGCUUAAAUUGAGUGGCACGGUGCAGACAAGCAAAGCACAUAGGUCUAUACAACUAAGUGGGGAGGAGGCGGGAUAUCCCACAGAUGCUGAGACUUCGGAAGUCUUUUAAGCCCAGAUCAUCAGCCUCGGCAGUGCCAAGUCCAAACUAAAUGCCUUGGGGACAUUUUCAAGCACCCAUAAACAAAACCAAUAGACCUGUUAGAUGUUGCACUGUUAAAAUAUAUCUACUGUGGAUGAAUGAGAGAUCAAGAGGCAAGGAAAUGGGAUUCAAGGGAUCCUGACACCAGCCAAAGAAGACAUGGUCAGAGUCACUGACAAAGACUGACUUACUUAGCCAUUGUACACAUUCUUCACUGGAGGAGGGAAGAUGUGUUCAGA